ensembl:misc_RNA Vault Vault RNA
GGGCUGGCUUUAGCCCAGCGGUUCCUUCGAGUCUGGCUUCCCAACCGCCGGAGCCCAUUAGUCCAGUGGUUCGAGACCCACAGGCGCUCUCCAGUCCUUUU